GAUUAACGCUAGCGGCAGGCCUAAUACAUGCAAGUCGAGCGGCAGCACGGGUAGCAAUAUCUGGUGGCGAGUGGCGCACGGGUGCGUAACGCGUAUGCAAUCUACCUAUAACUGGGGAAUAGCCUUCCGAAAGGAAGAUUAAUACCGCAUAAUAUCACGAAGCGGCAUCGUUUUGUGAUCAAAACUCCGGUGGUUAUAGAUGAGCAUGCGUGACAUUAGCUAGUUGGUGAGGUAACGGCCCACCAAGGCUACGAUGUCUAGGGGGUCUGAGAGGAUGAUCCCCCACACUGGUACUGAGACACGGACCAGACUCCUACGGGAGGCAGCAGUAAGGAAUAUUGGACAAUGGGCGCAAGCCUGAUCCAGCCAUGCCGCGUGCAGGAUGAAGGUGCUCUGCAUUGUAAACUGCUUUUGUUUGGGAAUAAACCCUUCUACGUGUAGAGGGCUGAAUGUACCAAAAGAAUAAGGGACGGCUAACUUCGUG
rnacentral:rRNA from 1 species